rfam:Loktanella vestfoldensis SKA53 scf_1099451320118 genomic scaffold, whole genome shotgun sequence.
AAGUCGGGAGGCAGCCGGUGGGACGGCAGCCACGAAUAGACUUGAAACCCCCGGUCAAAUGGAUGUGGCGGCGCAGCCCGGGCGCCGCACGUU